AUUGAACGCUGGCGGCAGGCCUAACACAUGCAAGUCGAACGGUAACAGGAAGACGCUUGCUUCUUUGCUGACGAGUGGCGGACGGGUGAGUAAUGUCUGGGAAACUGCCUGAUGGAGGGGGAUAACUACUGGAAACGGUAGCUAAUACCGCAUAACGUCGCAAGCCCAAAGAGGGGGACCUUCGGGCCUCUUGCCAUCGGGUGUGCCCAGAUGGGAUUAGCUAGUAGGUGGGGUAACGGCUCACCUAGGCGACGAUCCCUAGCUGGUCUGAGAGGAUGACCAGCCACACUGGAACUGAGACACGGUCCAGACUCCUACGGGAGGCAGCAGUGGGGAAUAUUGCACAAUGGGCGCAAGCCUGAUGCAGCCAUGCCGCGUGUAUGAAGAAGGCCUUCGGGUUGUAAAGUACUUUCAGCGGGGAGGAAGGGAGUAAAGUUAAUACCUUUGCUCAUUGACGUUACCCGCAGAAGAAGCACCGGCUAACUCCGUG
rnacentral:rRNA from 1 species